rnacentral:rRNA from 1 species
UACGGAGGGUGCGAGCGUUGUCCGGAAUCAUUGGGCGUAAAGGGCGCGUAGGUGGCCCAGUCAGCGUGCGGUGAAAGCUCGGGGCUCAACCCCGAGUCGGCCGUGCGAACUACUGGGCUGGAGCACUGUAGAGGCAGGCGGAAUUCCGGGUGUAGCGGUGGAAUGCGUAGAUAUCGGGAGGAACACCAGUGGCGAAAGCGGCUCUCUGGUUCAAUACUGACACUGAGAUGCGAAAGCGUGGGGAGCGAACGGG